rnacentral:rRNA from 1 species
UGGGGAAUUUUGGACAAUGGGGGAAACCCUGAUCCAGCCAUCCCGCGUGUGCGAUGAAGGCCUUCGGGUUGUAAAGCACUUUUGGCAGGAAAGAAACGUCAUGGGUUAAUACCCCGUGAAACUGACGGUACCUGCAGAAUAAGCACCGGCUAACUACGUGCCAGCAGCCGCGGUAAUACGUAGGGUGCAAGCGUUAAUCGGAAUUACUGGGCGUAAGGCGUGCGCAGGCGGUUCGGAAAGAAAGAUGUGAAAUCCCAGAGCUCACCUUUGGACCUGCAUUUUUAACUACCGGGCUAGAGUGUGUCAGAGGGAGGUGGAAUUCCGCGUGUAGCAGUGAAAUGCGUCGAUAUGCGGAGGAACACCGAUGGCGAAGGCAGCCUCCUGGGAUAACACUGACGCUCAUGCACGAAAGCGUGGGGAGCAAACAGG